UACGGAGGUGGCAAGCGUUGUUCGGAAUUACUGGGCGUAAAGGGCGCGUAGGCGGCAGGGCAAGUCAGGUGUGAAAGCCCCGGGCUCAACUCGGGAACUGCAUCUGAAACUGCUUUGCUUGAGUCCUGGAGGGGGUAGUGGAAUUCCCAGUGUAGCGGUGAAAUGCGUAGAUAUUGGGAGGAACACCGGUGGCGAAGGCGGCUACCUGGACAGUGACUGACGCUGAGGCGCGAAAGCUAGGGGAGCGAACAGG
rnacentral:rRNA from 1 species